AUGAAAGAAAGAAAAGAUGAAAAGGGUUUGUUUACUUACAAGUUGUCGUUGAAAAUCGUUGUGAAGAAAUUGAGUAAAAUGGAUGAACUAGAAAUGGGUCCAGUAAACGUCCUCCUACCAUGGCUUACUUGCCCCGCCGUUUGGUCCUUUGCUGGCGGCCAUUUCAAAGAUAGAGAGAGUGAAAUGGUUGAAAAAGGUGCAAACUUUUUCUUUUGUAAGCGAAAAGUCAAAAACAAAAAAAGAGAGAAGGUUCUAGAGAAAGAAGAUACACUGUGUUUUGAGUGGUGCGACUAA